AACGCGUUGGCGGCUGUGGUCCGUGGUCACUGACUUUAUUAUAAUUUGCGUAAUUACUGGUGGUAGGAGCUCUGGUAAGUCCGCACUGGUAGGUACCACCACCCUGGCUAUUUGCGCCGUGAGGCAGAAAUACGUUUUGGUUUGAAGGGUGGGGCAGCCGUUGCAACUAUACUGAGACCUUAGAACUUAUAUUUCAAGGUGGAUGGCGCAUUUACGUUGUAGAUGUUUAUGGGCUCUUGUAACCACUUAACACCAGUUGGGCUGUGAGCUCGUCCACCUUAGACAAUAAAAAAAAAUUCGUCGGACAUACUGUGGAAGAGCAACCCGGUCGGUGGUGUUCCGACUCGGCAGGAUGGUUCUGAUCCAGCGGGAUAUCCCGGAAUACCACUGGUACCGCGCGGGCGGCCUGACGGCCCGCCGUACCGUGGAGACUGGCGUCGUUGGUCGUCGACGAUCGUCUCGACGACCCGUCGGUCGGGCGUCUUCGGGGUGGUGCCGCGACUCUGAUUUUAGUGUUGACUGCCGGAGCUCCCCUACUCUGAUCGGGUUCUGACCCCAGGUAAAGAUCGGACGUUGGGUGUGAGAGGCUAGGGCAGUCGUUUAGUGGGUAGCGCCCUAAAUUCCAUUCCUUGCGCCCGCGGUCCGCUCCUAACACUUGCGGGUUGCCAACACAAAAUCAAUGUCGCCACCAAUCUUGCUACAUGCGGUCUAUGUUAUGUAGAUCGACUGUUAUGUAGAUUACACAAAUCACUACUUUUGCAAAUUUAAUUUUUAAAAUACGAAUUUAUUCCUUCAUCGUGGAAGUGAUUCCUGAUCACGUGUUAAGUAUGAUGAUGAUAUAUAAUGAUGUACUCGUACACGCACGGAUCGGUAUCAUCAUUAACAUUUUGCAUCUUUGAGAAUAUUUGAGGUAUUUUGAUGUCUAGGGAAUCCGGCAAGUAGCGUUAACGUGAGCAGUAAGGUCGUCUCCCCAAAAUGCAGUGAAUAUAACGAAAAUUUAGGCCCGUUGUUAAUGAAAAUAUGCAAGAAACCUGUAAACCUGUAAAGCCUAUUUUUUGUCGCGGCAAACUUUUAACGAUUUUAAAAUUACGUAGUACACACAGAUGAAAAAAAAAGAUGUAUAAAUAGGAGAACUUAUAUAAUAAUACCAUAUAAUAAUAAUAUAUAAUACCUCCAUACUUACAUAAUAAUAUUGCGUAAUUUUUUUAUUCAUUUGUUCGUUUCGCAUUAAAGCUUGUUUAUUGGCAUUUAUCUAAUAUAACAUAAAAAAAGCCUACAAUAAAAAUCCUGAGAAGCGUGGCGAGUUUCUUUCAUUCGUUCUUUUCACGACUUGAACUGUUUCUCGAAACGGAGGCAAGGGUAACAUAAUUUAACAUUUUUUACGUAAAUUAUGAAGAUAAACACGAUGAUUUCAAUUUUGUAUUCACUUCAAUUCAUAAUCACAAUCCAAACUUAUAUCUGUUUCAUGUUUACGGCAUAAAAAAUGAUAAUAAUACUUUUAGGCGAUAGCUAGUUAUUAUAAUUCAAUUGUUUUUUUUUGCUUUAGUAUGCGUAUGAAUGAGCGUGAGGUUUAUUUGAAGGAAAGGUCGCUAUCGCAAAUGGUUUCAGGCCAUGCUAGGGCAUAGCAGCUCCGCUGAAUAUUUUGAAGUAUCUACUUUUUGUAAGCCUCUUUGGAAAGUAGACAGCGUAGUGAUCCAGCAGUACCGCGGAAUCAAAAUACAUACGGCUUUUAACAAAAUAACGAAAGUUUCAAACAAAAGAGUUAUUGCUCUUAAGUAACCCCUUAAUUCAAGAUUAUUAUCUUGAAUUAAGGGGUUAGGGCCCUAAAUUCCAUUCCUUGCGCCCGCGGUCCGCUCCUAACACUUGCGGGUUGCCAACACAAAAUCAAUGUCGCCACCAAUCUUGCUACAUGCGGUCUAUGUUAUGUAGAUCGACUGUUAUGUAGAUUACACAAAUCACUACUUUUGCAAAUUUAAUUUUUAAAAUACGAAUUUAUUCCUUCAUCGUGGAAGUGAUUCCUGAUCACGUGUUAAGUAUGAUGAUGAUAUAUAAUGAUGUACUCGUACACGCACGGAUCGGUAUCAUCAUUAACAUUUUGCAUCUUUGAGAAUAUUUGAGGUAUUUUGAUGUCUAGGGAAUCCGGCAAGUAGCGUUAACGUGAGCAGUAAGGUCGUCUCCCCAAAAUGCAGUGAAUAUAACGAAAAUUUAGGCCCGUUGUUAAUGAAAAUAUGCAAGAAACCUGUAAACCUGUAAAGCCUAUUUUUUGUCGCGGCAAACUUUUAACGAUUUUAAAAUUACGUAGUACACACAGAUGAAAAAAAAAGAUGUAUAAAUAGGAGAACUUAUAUAAUAAUACCAUAUAAUAAUAAUAUAUAAUACCUCCAUACUUACAUAAUAAUAUUGCGUAAUUUUUUUAUUCAUUUGUUCGUUUCGCAUUAAAGCUUGUUUAUUGGCAUUUAUCUAAUAUAACAUAAAAAAAGCCUACAAUAAAAAUCCUGAGAAGCGUGGCGAGUUUCUUUCAUUCGUUCUUUUCACGACUUGAACUGUUUCUCGAAACGGAGGCAAGGGUAACAUAAUUUAACAUUUUUUACGUAAAUUAUGAAGAUAAACACGAUGAUUUCAAUUUUGUAUUCACUUCAAUUCAUAAUCACAAUCCAAACUUAUAUCUGUUUCAUGUUUACGGCAUAAAAAAUGAUAAUAAUACUUUUAGGCGAUAGCUAGUUAUUAUAAUUCAAUUGUUUUUUUUUGCUUUAGUAUGCGUAUGAAUGAGCGUGAGGUUUAUUUGAAGGAAAGGUCGCUAUCGCAAAUGGUUUCAGGCCAUGCUAGGGCAUAGCAGCUCCGCUGAAUAUUUUGAAGUAUCUACUUUUUGUAAGCCUCUUUGGAAAGUAGACAGCGUAGUGAUCCAGCAGUACCGCGGAAUCAAAAUACAUACGGCUUUUAACAAAAUAACGAAAGUUUCAAACAAAAGAGUUAUUGCUCUUAAGUAACCCCUUAAUUCAAGAUUAUUAUCUUGAAUUAAGGGGUGUCAAGUAAAGCUGGUGAACUCCACGAGUGGUACAAUGAACAUACAAAGACAUGAGCAACAUCUGUAUGAGUUUUUCGGACCAUUUGUGAACAGUUAAGAGAAAACAAAAAAAUCCAAAAUCUCUUUGAAUAGUCAAUGACUCCAUCUAGUCUUAAUAUAGUAUAAUACAAGUUGAUUGAAAAAAUUUAAUUUUGUGAUACAUAAUAUGAAUGGUUUUUAUUUUCGGUUUAUAAAGAACAUAAAAAUGAAAACAUCAACAAUAUUUAUGACUAUUAUUAUUAUUAUUAUUUAUUAUAACAUUGAUAUGUAAUAAUUAUAAAAUACUAUUUUAAUAAAAUAAUUAUUAAACAACACUGAUCGAAAGUUAUGUAAAUUUAGAAGUACAUAACAAUUAUUUAAUUUUUAUUUUUUUAUUGCUUAGAUGGAUGGACGAGCUCACAGUCCACCUGGUGUUAAGUGGUUACUUACAAGAGGUCGUACCACCAGUAAAAUAAAUAUAUAAUACUAGCUGACCCGGCAGAUUUCGUAGUGCCUCAAUCGGUAAAUAAAAAACCCAAGCUUUUGUCUGUACUAAUAAUAUUAUAAAGAGGAAAGAUUUGUUUGUUUGUUUCGAAUAGGCUCCGAAACUACUGGACCGAUUUGAAAAAUUCUUUUUCCAUUAGAAGCCGACAUUGUCCCUGAUGAACAUAGGCUACUUUUUUUUUUUUUUUGGUUUCAUGUGUGUUUUAAUGUUUCCGAAGCGAAGCGAGGGCGGGUCGCUAGUAUUAAAUAAACUUAAAACAAACAAAAGGAAUCCGUCCGGCGGGGGACACAUCAAAGGGAAAACUAAAUUAUUAUUUUUAUAUAAUUCCAAGCAUUUUCAUAUUUAUCUACCUUUUAAACCUUCUCUGGACUUCUACAAAUAAUUCAAGACCAAAGUUAUCCAAAUCGGUCCAGCCGUUCUCGAGUUUUAGCGAGACACUAACGAACAGCAAUUCAUUUUUAUAUAUAAAGAUAAAUAUAUAAAAUAUAAUCUUCGUCAUAGAUACAGUUCUUGAUUUUUCAAAGGUGCAUGGUCCAUUCGGCCGAUCCAGAACACUUUGUUGUCUUCUUAGAGUUGCUGCGUCGAAAUUCAACGAACAUUUUGCAGGUUUCGACGACAACGAACCAAUUUAUUCACGGUUACAUCGUCCCGAAACCCGAAGAAUGUGCGGAUUCUUCUUUUAUAAUUCUCUGUUUUGUUUUCAAACAUGAUUGUUUGAAUUCGGAACGUCGAAGGCGUCAACGAGCGACGUCCGCUAUGACGCUUUACCCUUUUUCAUUUCCAGCCGCCAAGGGCGAAACAUCUGUUUCAUACUAGUGGUCCCACAGUAGUCGAAAUUCGACUAUAAUUAAUUGGAAUUGUAAGUUUGAACACUAUUAUGAUUGUAUUUUAAACUUCAUAAUCACAAAUUUCGCCAAGACUACACUAUAAAAAACAUUAACAAAGGCAAACAAUAUUUAAUCUAUUCUCAAUUUGACCACAGACGUCAAGAACAAGUUUGACAAUAAAUAAAUAGUAUGCAUGCGUGUGUGCGUUAAAUACACGGUAUGUAGUGUGUGUAAUGUUUUGUUUAUUGAUUUAAUGUAACUUUUAUGCAUUAUUUAAAAAAAAUAUUAGCAUUGUGCACUUCUUCUCUAUAUUCUCUAUAAGUGUGGAAAAUUUCAUACUCCUCCGUCCGCGCAAUUUUCGUAAAAAGGGAUACAAAGUUUUUGCUUCACGUAUUAAUAUAUAGAUUUCUUAUAUGUAUCCAUUAAUUUUAAAUUCUUGUAAUUUGUCACUUAUGGACUAAUAAAAAUAUCAAACUAAUAAUACAGUCCACUCUUAUUCACCACAACGCAACAUAUGACAUAACAAUGACGUACAGGAAAACUUUCUAUUAAUUUCAGAAGCAUACAAUUUAAAUAACUAUUAAACUAUUGCCACUGUAGUAAAUUGACAAUUAUCCGAGAUGAAAUAGCAGUGUAUAAAUUAUAAUAUUACAUUAAAAUUUCAAUUUUGUUUUUCAAAUGGUAGGGAGUUCACGUUGUCUAUGGGAUCUAGUAACCGUUUAGCACCAGAUAGACCAUGAGUUAGUUCGAUUACAUAUCAAAAAAAAAACGAAGAAACGAUAAAUCGUGAAAAAACUUGGGGAAUAUCGCUGAAAACACAUUAUAAAUCUAAUUUUAUUGCUUGUUUGUUCGUAUUUAAACGUCUAAGCAUUGUGUGGGAAUUGAUUAGAAAUGUUUUAGUUAGUUUGAUAUAAAUAUUUAAAAAAGCCAUCCAAUCCCAUCCAAUCCAAUGCCAAAGGCAAUACUCGGAAGUGAUUGACUUCGUAUUUAAUAUUUUAAUGAGCCAAAUAUUUUCAUACAACUCACGCGCUGUUUAUUCUUACGCACUGUAACUAAAAACAUUUCGUCAAGUACUUAUAACAGUUAAUCGAUACUUAAACGAUUAGAACACGAGCAACACAAGCAAACCAUUGUACACUUUCCAUUUUGCACACAAAUUUUUUUUUUAAUUUUUUUUAUUGCUUAUAUGGAUGGACGAGCUCACAGCCCACCUGGUGUUAAGUGGUUACUGGAGCCCAUGGACAUCUACAACGUAAAUGCGCCACCCACCUUGAGAUAUAAGUUCUAAGAUCUCAGUAUAGUUACAACGGCUGCGACUCACAAGAGGUCCUACCACCAGUGACAAACACAUAUUCAUUUCAUAUUUAAAUAAUUUAUAAAACAACAAUUUGCAAGUAAAGUCAACAACGUACUAUACCAAUCCGAAUCUAAUUAUACAAAGUUAGUUUUUUUUUUGUUGCGUUCCAUUUCUUGAGCGGAACUUAAUUUGGCCUAAUUUUCAUUAAGAAAUGGAUGGGCAAUUAAUUCAUUAGGUACUGUCGUCGCUUCGUAAACAAACGACUUGAUGACUCCAUUUAUUUUCCGCGUUACAAAACUGUGGUACCAUUUGAGAUACUUAAGUUUUUAAGGAGGUUAGAAACGAAAUCUAUCGGAUUUUGUAACUUAAUUUACAAUGCUGCAAUGUAAUGAAUUAAUAAAAUUAAAUUCUCAAUUAAUCAAAUUAUAUUUAUCAUUUGAUUUCUAUUAUAGCUCUGGCAUCAACUUACCUACGAAGAUUUUAUACUAAUAUUGGUCACACCUAUAUACUUAAUACAUAGGUAAUCCAUGAAAAUUUCAAAUAUUGAACCAAACAAUUAUAAUAAUUUGAAUCGAUCUUACAUACCUUUGAUAAAACAAUUAAAGUAAACAAAAAAAUAAAACAUUACUAUAAUAUAAGUCUUUUUGUGUUUCGCGCCCAUCGUCAUCUAAGAUUAACGCUUAGACAUUACCUCGUGCAACAGAUGACCAAUUGUUCGUUCUCCCGUAACGAGAGCUAAAAGUUUUCCCAUUUAUUCAGUGCUCAUACGUCAAGUGGAGGCAGUAGGCUCGGUGCGGGGGUGCGAGCCGACGCGUUCCGGCGUGAUAAGGCGGCGCGCCUAUUGUCGCGGCGUCGGCGCACGUUUCCUCCGUUGCCGCCGAGCCUACCACAUUGUUCCCCCCUCGUAAUGAACAAACUUAUUCCCGAAGCUAAUGCUGUAAAAGCGACAACUGCCGAAUUCACUUGCUUCACGUUAUCUCAACGAAUUGUCUACUUUGUGUGCUGUGUAUACAACAUGACAUUGUGUACGUUCAAUAAUGAUGUUUCCCAUCGGCCUAGUUUCAAAUAGUACGAUAUAUAAAAUACGCACGCAUAAUCAGAGCAGUUUGGAAUAUAUUUGACAUAAGUUUGAAUUCUAGUAAUAGGUACUACUUUAGUUUUAUGUUAAAGGAAGUCAUGUUAAUAACGAGGUUGGUAUUUAUACCGUUUAUCAGUCGCCAAAUUGGAACGUGCUCUUUUCGGCGGAAAGUCCUAAGUAAUUUUAUAACAUGCUCCACAGAGCUUAGAUAAGGAAUGACAGUACCGCAACAGGACCAAGUAUUAGGGGAAGCUCGGAAAGAAACAAAUGAAGGUAUGUAAUACUACGAAAAGAUUUUUUUUUUUUUUUUUCUUAUUGCUUAGAUGUGAGGACGAGCUCACAGCCCACCUGGUGUUAAGUGGUUACUGGAGCCCAUAGACAUCUACAAAGUAAAUGCGCCACCCACCUUGAGAUAUAAGUUCUAAAGUCUCAGUAUAGUUACAACGGAUGCCCCAUCCUUCAAACCAAAACCCAUUACUGCUGCACGACAGAAAUAGGUAGGGCGGUGGUACCUACCCGUGCGGACUCAGAAAAGGUCCUACCACCAGUAGAAAGAUGAUUAGUAAGAUGCUAAAAUUGCAUAUAAUUGCCACGUAUAUAUGUAUUAAUUAACUCGCUUGGUACUUAAUUUGGUAGUAAGUUUAAAUACUUAUGGGGAGCCAUCCUUAUGGGAAGCCUUGGAACUUUGAACGUCGUUCAAAACUAGAUCACAAUGCAAGUGAGCUAGGAGAAAAAAAAAAGUUUUGUACAUUUUAGUAUAAUCGAUCGAUCGAUUUAGUACGAUAUUAUGAUACAUUUUUACUAGUUACUCGUUCAUUAAUCAAAAUGCCUAAUAGUUAAUAUUGGUCAUUGAGACUUCAAUUCUAUAUCUCAAACUAGACUGCGGCAUUAAAGAUGGAUCUAUCAGCUCCGGUGACUGGUAAGAACCGUGCGUUUCUUUAUCCAUAUUAGACAAGACAUCAGUCAGAUAGAAUAACACAUAAUAGUCACGCACUACUAUGCGUUGAAAUUAAUUAAAGAGCAAGUAAUACAAUACUGUUAUUGUUUAACUUGUAUCUUAAACGUGAUACCUGUUAAUUAGGAGCUAUGUUAAAAGUUAAUUGAGCGUGUCUUAUUACUUUAGGUAGAUCAGCAAAAUUUGAUGCGCGUUGUUUAGUUUUUGAGCUCAUUAUAUUAACGAUUUUCAGAGAGUAUAUAUAAAUCUAUAUAUAUAAAAAUGAAUUGCUGUUCGUUAGUCUCGCUAAAACUCGAGGACGGCUGGACCGAUUUGGCUAAUUUUGGUCUUGAAUUAUUUGUGGGAGUACAGGGAAGGUUUAAAAGGUGAAUAAAUAUGAAAAUGCUCGGAAUUAAAUAAAAAACACAAUUUUGUUUUUCCUUUGAUUUGUCCCCCCGUCGGACGGAUUCCUUUUGUUUGUUUUAAGUUUAUUUUAUACAAAAGUUUAAGUCUUUUAUGUACCGAUUGAGGCACUUCGAAGUCUGCCGGGUCAGCUAGUAUAUAUUAAAUUUAAUUAUUUAUUUAUUUAUUUAUUAAAUUUAUUUGAGUAUAUACACGACAUUUUUUUAAUUGCUUAAAUUAUAUUCCAAGGUAAUAAAUGUUGGUAAUUCAGUACGACCGUUAAAUUAGUUGAAUAUGUUAUCAUAUCCAAUACAUUUUCGAAUCCCAUUGAUAUUAUGCAUUCUCUGCGGCGCCUAAAUUCCUCAUUCAUUCGAACACAUUCAAAAAUACCCUGUCGCAGUAGCUCUCCGUUUUCUAUAGCCGAAAAAUUUGAGACGAGCCGGCAAUAACUCUGAAGGGAGAAAAUCGCAUUUCGAUCUAAAAGAGGGCAAAUCUUUUAUGUAAUAUGAGAUUGUCAUCGCGAUUAUUACAGGCAAAUAGAAUACGCCGGAUCAGUAAGUAGGUUAUCUGCGUGCUUCCCCUGGCCGGAAUCAGUUUAUUUGAUGUUGCGAUGUACUUACUUAUUUAUGAUUGUCACCUUUCAUGUCCUUAUUUAUGAUAAACUUAAUUUUAGUAGAAGUUGAAUUUACGUGGGGUAAAAAAAAGGAUUUCAAAAUUAUUAAGAAUUUCUUCAAAAUCUUACAUCAUAGAAUUUUUUAUCUUCACAAACAUGGCAUAAAACUUUUAUUGCCAGAGGGUGGACGUCAAUUUGCGAAAAAGAAAUUUCUUUUGCUUAUCAGCGAAUCCAAUUACUUUCAAGUAGAUGUUUUUUUUUAUUCGAUUGUUACUUUCAGGUUAACAAGAAAACUACGUAACACAGGAAAUAAGUUAUUUCUUCAUGAACUAACGAGCUGUUACAAGUUUUCAGAGUAAGUAUUUAUUGGCUUAAGUUGAAGUCGUGCAAUCCAACGAUCUGUAAGCUAUGCAGUCAUCGUAGUGCAACAAGUUUAAUAAUUGCGAAGCGUCGAAGGUGAAACUCAGUCGCUACAGCGUAGUCUCGUAGCGCUACGUAGCUACGGAAGCGGGUAUGCGGAAAAAUCACAGAUUAUUAGUACUAGUUGGCUCGAAGCAAUCUUGAAAGCAUAUUCAUAUUUAAAUGUCAUAUUGCGACUGCAGCCAGGGAGUGUUAACUCAUGUGUUAUUUUACGGUUUGACAAGCUUAUGUUCGUCAGCGUAUGAACGUGUAGCGACCUGUGAUCAGUAUAAACCAAGUCUAUUAAUAAUUUUUUUUAAUUAUAAUGAGAAACAUCGAAUAAAUUCUAAACAUGGACGAGAUUUUAGAUUUUUUUUUAAGUUAUCUAAAUAUUUUAGUUAGCUCUUUACAACAAUCUGACGUAUUAAUACAAUAUAGUUGUUGAUACAGUCACAACAAAACGAGUUUUCGAAAUAACCAAACAUUUUUUUUAUGAAUAACAAGCGAAUAUUCAAAGAAAAUUUUCCAUGUAAAAAGGAAAUUCAAAAUAGAGGCUGUUAGAAGGCGUAGAACACCGGAGAUGUAAGUAAAUUUACUUUCUGGGAAAAAUUGUGUUCACAAACUUAAUUUGGAGUGAGGCGUAAAAUUUUUUACGUGAUUUCAAGGCUCCUUCUUUCUGCUAAAUGUUAAUUGCUAGAUAUCUGCAAGCAGAUUUUGUAACGGUUUGCUUGAAGAAAGAAAACCUAUUAUUUUGUACAAAACGAAAAAAAUAUAUGAUAUUCAGUAGUAGCUUUAAAAAUUAAAAUCCAGUUUCUAAAAGCUCCACAAAAGUGUUUGUAAAAUUGAAUAAUAAAUUAUUUAGUAUCUGAAAUAAGAAGCUCAAUUGUGAAAUAAAUGAUUUGUGUUCACAAAAGACCGGUUUCAAUAACAAACAAGAUCAUUUUAGAAGUUCUACAAUAGAGACCGGAGUCUUUCAACCACAAUGAACAGCCUGUUUUAUCGGCAGACAAUCAAAACGAGUUACAAAUCCUCUCUUAAAUUUCCAACUUAAAUACAAAGGAAUAAAAUGUUCGCUGCAAUUUUAUGUGGAGUAAGAGACUCAAUUGCCCGUCGCGCUGAAGCUAAACCUAUAAAUUGGAAAGAUUAAUAACUUAAAAAAAACUGUACUCAGAUUUUUUGGUGAAUAACAAAUAUUUGGUGAAUAAUAAUAUAAUCUUUAAUUAGUUCUUUUUUUAUUGCUCUUGUAGGCAGACGAGCGUACGGUCCACCUGAUGGUGAGUGGUUACAGUCGCCCAUGGACUUCAGCAAUGCCAGGGGCAGAGACAAACGGCUGCCUAAAAUUUUUUUUGUACUCAUUUCAUACUUUGAAAGUCUUUUUAGAAUACAAUUGUGUCUUCGAUUUUAUAUUCCAGAGAGGGUAGUAUGUAAACGAAAACAUUACAAUACUCUUUGAAUGGUAUUAAUAAAUAAAUACAUAUUACAC